GACGAACGCUGGCGGCGUGCUUAACACAUGCAAGUCGAACGGAAAGGCCCUGCUUUUGUGGGGUGCUCGAGUGGCGAACGGGUGAGUAACACGUGAGUAACCUGCCCUUGACUUUGGGAUAACUUCAGGAAACUGGGGCUAAUACCGGAUAGGAGCUCCUGCUGCAUGGUGGGGGUUGGAAAGUUUCGGCGGUUGGGGAUGGACUCGCGGCUUAUCAGCUUGUUGGUGGGGUAGUGGCUUACCAAGGCUUUGACGGGUAGCCGGCCUGAGAGGGUGACCGGACACAUUGGGACAGAGAUACGGCCCAGACGCCUACGGGAGGCAGAAGUGGGGAAUAUUGCACAAUGGGCGGAAGCCUAAUGCAGCAACGCCGCGUGCGGGAUGACGGCCUUCGGGUUGUAAACCGAUUUCGCCUGUGACGAAGCGUGAGUGACGGGAAGGGGUAAAGAGGCACCGGCUAACUACG
rnacentral:rRNA from 1 species